rnacentral:precursor_RNA from 1 species
AAAGCCCGUGGGGGACCUGUUCACUGCAGCCAUGAACAUGAUCCUCCCGGACUUCA